rnacentral:rRNA from 1 species
ACGUACACUCCUGCGGGAGGCAGCAGUGGGGAAUAUUGCACAAUGGGCGCAAGCCUGAUGCAGCCAUGCCGCGUGUAUGAAGAAGGCCUUCGGGUUGUAAAGUACUUUCAGCGGGGAGGAAGGCGAUAAGGUUAAUAACCUUGUUGAUUGACGUUACCCGCAGAAGAAGCACCGGCUAACUCCGUGCCAGCAGCCGCGGUAAUACGGAGGGUGCAAGCGUUAAUCGGAAUUACUGGGCGUAAAGCGCACGCAGGCGGUCGGUCAAGUCGGAUGUGAAAUCCCCGGGCUCAACCUGGGAACUGCAUUCGAAACUGGCAGGCUAGAGUCUUGUAGAGGGGGGUAGAAUUCCAGGUGUAGCGGUGAAAUGCGUAGAGAUCUGGAGGAAUACCGGUGGCGAAGGCGGCCCCCUGGACAAAGACUGACGCUCAGGUGCGAAAGCGUGGGGAGCAAACAGGAUUAGAUACCCGGGUAGUCCCAUG